UACGAAGGGGGCGAGCGUUGUUCGGAUUUACUGGGCGUAAAGGGCGCGCAGGCGGCUCAUUUUGUCAGGCGUGAAAGCCCCGGGCUUAACCUGGGAACUGCGUUUGAUACGGAUGGGCUAGAGUUCGGGAGAGGAGAGUGGAAUUCCCAGUGUAGAGGUGAAAUUCGUAGAUAUUGGGAAGAACACCGGUGGCGAAGGCGGCUCUCUGGACGGUUUCUGACGCUAAGACGCGAAAGCGUGGGGAGCAAACAGG
rnacentral:rRNA from 1 species